rnacentral:rRNA from 1 species
GACAGAGGGUGCAAACGUUGUUCGGAAUUACUGGGCGUAAAGCGCGUGUAGGCGGUUCGAUAAGUCGGAUGUGAAAGCCCCGGGCUCAACCCGGGAAGUGCACUCGAUACUGUCGAGCUAGAGUAUCGGAGAGGUUGGUGGAAUUCUCGGUGUAGAGGUGAAAUUCGUAGAUAUCGAGAAGAACACCGGUGGCGAAGGCGGUUGGCUGGGCCACAACUGACACUGAUGCGCGACAGCGUGGGGAGCAAACAGG